UAUAGUUGUAAAAUAAAUUAAAAUUAGUAUUAGUUAUGUUCUUGAAAAUUAAAGAUUUUGGCGGUAUUUUAGUCUUUUCAGAGGAACCUGUUCUAUAAUUGAUAGUCCACGAUAAAUUAUACUUACUUUAUUAAUUUGUAUAACGUCGUAUAAGAAUAUUUUAUAAGAAUUUAAAUAUUCAAUAUUUUUAUAAAAAAUAAAAUCAGAUCAUGUUGCAGUUUAUAAGUAUGAAGAAAUGGGUUACAAUAUAAUAAUAUAAACGAAUUAAUAAUUGAAAAUUUUUAUGAAGGUGGAUUUGAAAGUAAUUAAUUAAAUUUAUUUUUAAUGAUUUAAGCUCUAAAAUAUGU
rnacentral:rRNA from 1 species